GCGGGAAAAUGUACUGAAGGCUGGCUCUCUCGAUGGCUGACUCAGCGGGUCUGUCUGAUUAAUACUCAAAGACAGCUUCAGACACCAAACAGGGACACCAUAACACAUUUUACUGCCAGGAAAUGGUGAUUGAAGGUGCUAACACAAAUGUGCUACAUUCACACUGCCAUUCACACUCUGUCUCAAACACACACCAAAACACACACAAAGUAUUAUGGCUGGAGGACUGGGGAUUAAAAACACUGAGACUCUGGCAGGAGCUCAAGUGCUGAAGUGGGUUAAAGCGUUUGCACGCGCACACACACACACACACACACACACACACACACACACACACACACAAGCCUGCCUUGCCUGUGCAUCAAAGGGCUCUUUUGUGACGUGACUGGAACCAGAUAUACCGCAGCAUAUACGGGACGCCCACGCGGUCACACACACUUCCUUGAUCCUGGGUGUUGUGGUUUUUACUGACCAGCUGGAGCUACUCCUUUUCCUCCUCCCUAGUUCUCUCAUUCUUCUUCCCUCUUUUCACAACAAGGCUCAUGCAUAAAUACCUGUUUGUUUGGGUUUUUUUUUUUUUUUUACAAUGCAACAGAAGUGCCUUUAUAUUGAGUAAAAAAAAAAAAAAAAAAACUAAGAUACGUUCAACAUGCUUUCAUGUUCCGUUAGGCUGAAUGAAUUCCCAGACCAUGUAAAAAUGUUUUCUGUGACGUUAAUCUUUUUUUUUUUUACGUGAAAAUCAGGGAUAAUGAAAGCAUGUCCGACGGAACAGCGUUUACAAAUCCGGUCCUCGAGGCCCAACCAUGAGUCACAUUUUUUUCCCCCAUGGUGAGGUGAAAAGAUGGAGAGAGUCCUGACCCGGUGCAUGCCUGUGCUCCCAGAUGGCUAGUUAAGUACAUCACAAAGUAUUGGUGUAGACAGUCAGACCUAAAUCAAGACGGGCAGUGUUUAAAUCAGACGUUCCAAAAAAGUCUAGAAAAGUUGCUUAUCGAAACAGGAAGGUGAGGUCCACGUCUGCAGCGGUCGACCAAUAACGACGGAGAUCGGUAGCGCUUUCACAUUGUCGCCGUAGUGAGACGAGAGUAUUUCAGAUCGUUCAAAAAUCCAGUUUUGCUCUCUUGGCUCCUGG
ensembl:lncRNA